rnacentral:rRNA from 1 species
AGUGGCGCACGGGGUGAGUAACACGUAAAUAAUCUACCCUCGAGUGGGGAAUAACGUCCGGAAACGGGCGCUAAUACCGCAUAAUGCAGCGGCACCGCAAGGUGACAGUUGUUAAAGAUUUAUUGCUUGAGGAGGAGUUUGCGGCAGAUUAGCUAGUUGGUAAGGUAAUGGCUUACCAAGGCUACGAUCUGUAUCCGGUCUAAGAGGACGGUCGGACACACUGACACUGAAUAACGGGUCAGACUCCUACGGGAGGCAGCAGUCGGGAAUUUUGGGCAAUGGGGGAAACCCUGACCCAGCAACGCCGCGUGAAGGAUGAAGUUUUUCGGAAUGUAAACU